rnacentral:lncRNA from 10 species
UUCGGCGUUACCAGGAGAGCUAUGUAUAGGAAUGCCGCUAUGGAAAGACAUCCAGGACACCUUGUUAAGUGAAAAAAGACAUGCCACCAUUAGGGCUUCAUUUCCCUGCAGUCUUCUUUAAAUACCAAAACUGCCCUGGGAAGGAUAAGACAUCAGUUUCUUCAUACUUCAGAGCAAAUGGGAUUGAUUCCCAGGACCUCCUUUCUGUGGACUGGGUUUUUGCCUCCUCACCAAGAGACUGGGCUCCCUGGGCGAGCAGAGGCUGCUGGGUUCAGUAUCUGAACACUUUUGCUAAAGGUCUCUGGAAAGCUCCCUGUGUUAAUUCUCGAUGAGACUACGUCUGUGCCGGCCGCUUCCUGAGCCUCCUUCCAUGUGCAUAGGCCUGCUGCAUGCUGGAGACCUGCGGCACAGCUGCCAAGUGCCCCGUGUGGUUCUGUGAUCUUGGGACAGUCACUUCCUCUCUGUGGUUGUCAGUCUUCUCAUCCCUAAGCACUCAAGAAGCCCUUCCUUCUCUGGCUGUCAAGUCUGGACUCAUCUCUUGUCUUACACACGGACAGUUGUUUUAAGGAAAAGCCCCUGGUUGGACUUGCAGAUUGGGCACAGCCCUGGACGUAUACUACAGGUGCUCAUCAAGGCUUGCCUCAUCUGUUUACCCUCCAGGUCAUGCCCCUUUCUACCUCUACACCCUGUUGCAUUGCGGGCAUGGCCUCCGGAAAAGUCAAGCAUGGCGAAAGGAAGCGUGGCCCAGAGCUGGCACGCCACAGGAACUUGGAAUAACUUGCAGUGUCUUGCAGUAUUGUGAAACCAGCAACUUGUUCACAAUUCUUCUGAAUUUCUUGGGAAAUUUGAAGUGGAGUACCUGUACCAACAUGAAAUGACACGAAUUUAAGUGACGCUCAACAACGAAAAGCAAAAAGAACCAAAGAGGAAGCAACUGAAACAACAUCUGGAUGUAUUUAAAAAUAUACAAUGCCUCCAAAAUCAGGUGUCAUUAAUGAAAAUUCUGAAGAAAUGCCACCGGACAUAGCCAACGCACCUACGCUGUUGUUAUUCAUUUCCUGCUUUUCACAGAAAACAAUUUUGUUGCAUGGAAGAUCG